GUGAUAGAAACACAGACCCGAGUAAGUAGGUUGUUUACGUAUGGGAAUAAAGAGGACUUGAUGCCCUAUAAUGCUAUGGUUGGGUUUUACCUUAAUGAUCUUUAGUAGUUGCGGAUGCUUGCUAGAGUUCCAAUCAUAAGUGCAUAUGAUCCGAGAAGAGAAAUUAUGUUAGCUUAUGCCUCUCCCUCAAAUAAAAUUGCAAUAAUGAUUACCGGUCUAGUUAUCGAUUGCCUAGGGACAAAUAACUUUCUUGUGUGACAACAAGCUCUUUACUAAAACUAACUUAGUUGUGUCUUCAUCUAAACAACCCCUACUUUUUAUUUACGCGAUCUUUAUUAUCUUGCAAACCUAUCCAACAACACCUACAAAAUACUUCUAGUUUCAUACUUGUUCUAGGUAAAACAAACGUUAAGCGUGCGUAGAGUUGUAUCGGUGGUCGAUUGAACUUGAGGGGAUAUUUGUUCUACCUUUAGCUACUUGUUGGGUUCGACACUCUUACUUAUCGAAAGAGGCUACAAUUGAUCCCCUAUACUUGUGGGUUAUCAAGACCUUUUUCUGGCACCGUUGUCGGGGAGUUAUAGCGUGGGGUGAAUAUUCUCGUGUGUGCUUGUUUGCUUUAUCACUAAGUAAUUUUUAUUUGUUGUUCUAAGUUGUUCUCUAUCUUUAGUUAUGGAUAUGGAACACGAAAUACCAAAAAAAAGUAGGUUUACUUGCUACUCAUGGAGAUGGGGAACCUCCUAAAACCCUCGAUGCUCAUUAUGUGAAAGAGAUUAUGUACUACUUUGAUAAUCCUGAGAAAACCCCAUUCAAUUAUGUUAUGGGAGACACAUUGGAUCAACGUGAAUACUUUAGGGAUUAUCACUUGACUCAAAAAGGGAAACUAUUAUGGGAUCAAAUUUAUAUGUUGCAUUGGUAUGCUCGACAACUAUGCUUGAGAUAUGAUUAUACUUGUUGCUCUAGGAUGAAGGCUCCACACCUUCCCUUUUCAUGCGAAGUUAAUGAUAAUGAAACCUUAGCUUCAUAUGCUAAUGGUAUAUAUGAUUACUAUGAUGUGGAAUGAAUAGAAGAAUUUGUUGCUUUUAUGGGUGCUUAUGAAAUUGAAUCUUUGUUUAAAGAGUGUGAAAAUCUUGAUGAUGUUGUUUACACACCUGAAAAUUUUGCUAUACUUAAAUAUUGGUAUGAAAAUUAUGAAUUCAACUCCGAUAUUGAUGAUUUUAUUGAGAGAGUCUCCGCUGUCCAAGAAGAGACUAAUAUUUUGCAGGAGUCUAUGGAAGAAGAAAUAGAUGAAAUUGUGAGCUCAUUGGAUGAAAAAGAUGAUGAGGAGAGCGAAGAACAAAAGGAGGAAGAGCGGAUUAGCUACCCGUGCCCACCUUCUAAUGAGAGUAACUCUUCAACUCAUACAUUGUUUAAUUUCCCUUCGUGCUUACCGAAGGAUGAUUGUUAUGAUCUUGUUGAUUCUUUUGAAAUAUCCCUUUUUGAUGAUGCUUGUUAUGCUUGUGGCCAAGAUGCCAAUAUGAAUUAUGCUUAUGGAGAUGAACUUGCUACAGUUCCUUAUGUUAAACAUGAAAUUGUUGCUAUUGCACCCACGCAUGAUAGUCCGAUUAUCUAUUUGAAUUCUCCCGACUACACUAUAUCGGAGAAGUUUGCCCUUAUUAAGGAUUAUAUUGAUGGGUUGCGUUUUACUACUACACAUGAUGAAUUUGAUAGAUAUAAUAUGCAUGUGCUUGCUGCUCCUACUUGCAAUUAUUAUGAGAGAGGAACUACAUCUCCGCCUCUCCAUGUUUCCAAUAUGAUAAAAUUGCAAGAAACUUCUUAUACUAUGCAUUGGCCUUUACUAUGUGUGCAUGAAUUGUUCUUUUAUGAUAUGUUGAUGCAUAGGAAGAGAGUUAGAUUUCGUCAUUACAUGAUAUAUGUUACUUUGUGCUCACUACUAAAUCACAAAUCAUUGUUAAUUAAAAUUGGCUUUGAUAUACCUUGGGAUCCGGGUGGAUUCAUUACUUGAGCACUAUAUGCCUAGCUUAAUGGCUUUAAAGAAAGCGCUGCCAGGGAGACAACCCGAAAGUUUUAGAGAGUCAUUUAUUUAUUUUGAGUGCUUUUAUAUAGUUUAAAAACAAAAAAAGUAAAGAGGGGAACACAAAACAUUUCAAAAAAGGAAAGUGAAAGUGAGAGAGACAAGCAUUGUUGAAGUGGGGGAGCUCCUUAAACUUUGUUCAUGCUCACAGAAACUUUGUUAAUCUUGAUUACAAAAACUUUUCAAGAAAAAUAAUUAUCCCCUUGUACAAUUCCAUUGUAUUAUAAAAAUAAUGUGCCAAGAUUUGCCUUUAGGAUGUUUACAUUGCUUGUUGGUUUGUGCGGUGCACAACAGAAAGUUUGGUUGUAGUGCGCGAUUUUAAAAUUUUUUUACUGGAACGUCAAAUGGUUCAGAAACUUUUUUGCACUGUCUUUCUAUACAAAUUGUUUAUUUUCCUAAUUGUUUCAGAAUUUUUGGAGUACCAGAAGUAUGGUGAAUGUUCAGAUUACUACAGAUUGUCCUGUUUAAGACACAUUCUGUUUUUGAUGCAUAGUUUGCUUGUUUUGAUGAAACUAUCAAUUUAUAUCAGUGGAUUAAGCCAUGGAAAAGUUAUAUUACAGUAGCUACAAUGCAAAUACAAAAUAUGAAUUGGUUUGCAACAGUACUUAGAGUAGUGAUUUGCUUUAUUAUACUAACGAAUCUUACCGAGCUUUCUGUUAAGUUUUGUGUGAUUGAAGUUUUCAAGUUGUGGGAGAGAUCACGAUGGAUGAAGGAAUAAAGAGUGGAAAGAGCCUAAGCUUGGGGAUGCCCAAGGCACCCUAAGGAAAUAUUCAAGGACUCCCAAGCAACCAAGCUUGGGGAUGCCCCGGAAGGCAUCCCCUCUUUAUUCUAACAAUCAUCGGUAAUUUUACUUGGAGCUAUAUUUUUAUUCGUCACAUGAUAUGCGUAAAUCUUGGAGCGUCUUUGCAUUUAGUUUUCACUUUUCUUUGAUGCACCAUGCUGGUAUGAGAUAGUCCUUGGUUGAUUUAUAGAAUGCUCAUUGCACUUCACUUAUAUCUUUUGAGUAUGGCUUUAUAGAAUGCUUCAUGUGCUUCACUUAUAUCUUUUGAAGUUUGGAUUGCCUGUUUCUCUUCACAUAGAAAACCGCCAUUUGUAGAAUGCUCUUUUGCUUCACUUAUAUUUGUUAGAGCGUGGGCAUAUCUUUUGUAUAAAGAAUUAAACUCUCUUGCUUCACUUAUAUCUAUUUAGAGAGAUGACAGGAAUUGGUCAUUCACAUGGUUAGUCAUAAAAUCCUACAUAAAACUUGUAGAUCACUAAAUAUGAUAUGUUUGAUUCCUUGCAAUAGUUUUGCGAUAUAAAGAUGGUGAUAUUAGAGUCAUGCUAGUGGGUAUUUGUGGAUUUUAGAAAUACUUGUGUUGAAGUUUGUGAUUCUCGUAGCAUGCACGUAUGGUGAACCGUUAUGUAACGAAGUUGGAGCAUGAGGUAUUUAUUGAUUGUCUUCCUCAUGAGUGGUGGUCGAGGACGAACGAUGGUCUUUUCCUACCAAUCUAUCCCCCUAGGAGCAUGCGCGUAGUACUUUGUUUCAAUGACUAAUAGAUUUUUGCAAUAAGUAUGUGAGUUCUUAUGACUAUGUUGAGUCCAUGGAUUAUACGCACUCUCACCCUUCCAUCAUUGCUAGCCUCUUCGGUACCGUGCAUUGCCCUUUCUCACCUUGAGAGUUGGUGCAAACUUCGCCGGUGCAUCCAAACCCCGUGAUACGAUACGCUCUAUCACACAUAAGCCUCCUUAUAUCUUCCUCAAAACAGCCACCAUACCUACCUAUUAUGGCAUUUCCAUAGCCAUUCCGAGAUAUAUUGCCAUGCAACUUCCAUCAUCAUCAUAUACAUGACUUGAGCAUUUAUUGGCAUAUUGCUUUGCAUGAUCGUAAGAUAGCUAGCAUGAUGUUUUCAUGGCUUGUCCGUUUUUUGAUGUCAUUGCUACGCUAGAUCGUUGCACAUCCCGAUACACUGCCGGAGGCAUUCAUAUAGAGUCAUAUCUUUGUUCUAGUAUCGAGUUGUAAUAUUGAGUUGUAAGUAAAUAAAAGUGUGAUGAUCAUCAUUAUUAGAGCAUUGCCCCAAGAAAAAAAGGAGAGGCCAAAGAAGACUAAAUAAAAAAGGGGGGGCCAAAGAAGCCCACCAAAAAAAGGGGGGCAAUGUUACUAUCCUUUUACCACACUUGUGCUUCAAAGUAGCACCAUGUUCUUCAUAUAGAGAGUCUCUUGAGUUAUCACUUUCAUAUACUAGUGGGAAUUUUCAUUAUAGAACUUGGCUUGUAUAUUCCAACGAUGAGCUUCCUCAAAUUCCCUAGGUCUUCAUGAGCAAGCAAGUUGGAUGCACACCCACUUAGUUUCAGUUUGAGCUUUCAUACACUUAUAGCUCUUAGUGCAUCCGUUGCAUGGCAAUCCCUACUCCUCGCAUUGACAUCAAUUGAUGGGCAUCUCCAUAGCCCGUUGAUUAGCCGCGUCAAUGUGAGACUUUCUCCUUUUUUGUCUUCUCCACACAACCUCCACCAUCAUAUUCUAGUCCACCUAUAGUGCUAUGUCCAUGGCUCACGCUCAUGUAUUGCGUGAAAGUUGAAAAGGUUUGAGAACGUCAAAAGUAUGAAACAAUUGCUUGGCUUGUCAUUGGGGUUGUGCAUGAUUUGAAUAUUUUGUGUGGUGAAGAUGGAGCAUAUCCAGACUAUAUGAUUUUGUAGGGAUAACUUUCUUUGGCCAUUAUUUUGAAAAGACAUGAUUGCUUUAUUAGUAUGCUUGAAGUAUUAUUGUCUUAAUGUCAAAUGAUAGACUAUUGCUUGAAUCACUCAUGUCUUAAUAUUCAUGCCAUGAUUAGAUUACAUGAUCAAGAUUAUGCUAGGUAGCAUUCUACAUCAAAAAUUAUCUUUUUAUCAUUUACCUACUCGAGGACGAGCAGGAAUUAAGCUUGGGGAUGCUGAUACGUCUAUGUUGUAUCUAUAAUUUUUAUUGUUCCAUGCAAAUAUUCUACAACUUUCAUAUACUUUUGGCAACUUUUUAUACUAUUUUUGGAACUAACAUAUUGAUCCAGUGCCCAGUGCCAGUUCCUGUUUGUUGCAUGUUUUUGUUUCGCAGAAAAUCCAUAUCAAACGGAGUCCAAACGGGAUAAAAACUGACGGAGAUUUUUUUUGGAAUAUAUGUGAACUUUGGGAAGUGAAAUCAACGUGAGACGAUGCUCGAGGGGCCCACGAGGCAAGGGGGUGCGCCCCUGACCCUCGUGGACACCCCGUAAGGCGGUUGAUGCCCUUCUUUCGCUACAAGAAAGCUAAUAUCCGGAUAAAAAUCGUGUCCAAAAUUCAGCCCAAUUGGAGUUACGGAUCUCCGGGAAUUUAAGAAACGGUGAAAGGGCAGAAUCUGGAAUGCAGAGAGAGACAGAGAGACAGAUCCAAUCUCGGAGGGGCUCUCGCCCCUCCCAUGUCAUGGAGGCCAUGGACUAGAGGGGAAACCCUUCUCCCAUCUGGGGAGAAGGUCAAGGAAGAAGAAGAAGAAGGGGGCUCUCUCCCCCUCUCUUCCGGUGGCGCCGGAACGCCGCCGGGGCCAUCAUCAUCACCGCGAUCUACACCAACAACUUCACCGCCAUCAUCACCAACUCUUCCCCCCUCUAUGAAGCAGUGUAACCCCUCUUUUACCCAUUGUAAUCUCUACUUAAACAUGGUGCUCAACGCUAUGUGUUAUUUCCCAAUGAUGUAUGGCUAUCCUAUGAUGUUUGAGUAGAUCCGUUUUGUCCUAUGGGUUAAUUGAUGAUCGCGAUUGGUUUGAGUUGCAUGUUUUAUUAUUGGUGUUGUCUUAUGGUGCUCUCCGUGUGUCGCAAGCGUGAGGGAUCCCCGUUGUAGGGUUUGCAAUAUGUUCAUGAUUUGCUUAUGGUGGGUGGCGUGAGUGAUAGAAACACAGAACCGAGUAAGUAGGUUGUUUACGUAUGGGAAUAAAGAGGACUUGAUGCCCUAUAAUGCUAUGGUUGGGUUUUACCUUAAUGAUCUUUAGUAGUUACGCAUGCUUGCUAGAGUUCAAAUCAUAAGUGCAUAUGAUCCGAGAAGAGAAAUUAUGUUAGCUUAUGCCUCUCCCUCAAAUAAAAUUGC
rnacentral:lncRNA from 1 species